rnacentral:tRNA from 1 species
GGGGAACCUGCGGCUGGAUCACCUCCUUUCUAAGGAGAUCCAGCCGGAAGCUCCUCCUCAGACGAGGAGCUCCCGGUCAGAUCAACUAGGUCGGUGCCACCUGCCGGUCGAGCCAGUAGCAUUUUUUCCCCGGGCCUUUAGCCCAGCUGGUUAGAGCGCGCGCUUGAUAAGCGCGAGGUCCCUGGUUCGAUCCCAGGAAGGCCCACCACUUGGGGGAUGUAGCUCAGCUGGGAGAGCACCUGCCUUGCACGCAGGGGGUCGCCGGUUCGAUUCCGGUCAUCUCCACCAGGUGUCGUGAUUUCGGGACCCACGCGGUCCCGUUCGGCUCUUUGACAACCGAAUACGCGAUCCUCGAGAAGCCAGAGCGUCCUCGAAACUAGUCCGUGGUCAAGCUACUAAGGGCGGAC